GAUGAACGCUAGCGGCAGGCCUAACACAUGCAAGUCGAGGGGUAACUAGAGUGAUAGCAAUAUUACUUUGGCUAGACCGGCGCACGGGUGCGUAACACGUAUGCAACCUACCUUAUACUGGGGAAUAACUUCGAGAAAUCGGCGCUAAUACCCCAUAACACUGCGGAGAGGCAUCUCUUUGCAGUUAAAGCUCCGGCGGUAUAAGAUGGGCAUGCGUCCAAUUAGCUAGUUGGUGAGGUAACGGCUCACCAAGGCUACGAUUGGUAGGGGUUCGGGGAGGAUGAUCCCCCACACUGGUACGUAGACACGGACCCGACUCCUGCGGGAGGCAGCAGUGAGGAAUAUUGCGCAAUGGCCGAAAGUCUGACGCAGCCAUGCCGCGUGCAGGAUAACGGCCCUAUGGGUUGUAAACUGCUUUUGUACGGGAAUAAACCCUUCUACGUGUAGGAGGCUGAAGGUACCGUAAGAAUAAGCACCGGCUAACUCCGUGCCAGCCGCCGCGGUAA
rnacentral:rRNA from 1 species